AUAUCUGGCCUUCUCAUAACUACUGUAUGAGCAAUAAGAAUCCAGUAAGAAAUAUUGCCUUAAGAAAAAUACCAUGCUGAGAAGGGUGACCUACAUCCUGCAUUAGUGGAUAGUCACUCUAUUUAUAGGAUCUUUAAAACAACUACAUUUUUAAUGAACUCAGGUGAAUAAAGACACAACUAAAAACUGUCUAAGAAGAAAGAAAAAGAAAGUCCAAUCCAGGGUAAUAGUGAAACUCAAAGUCCCUACCAGUUUAAACCUUUCCCCUUGCCUGCGUCAGGUCUCAGGUCUCUACUCGAUGCUGUGAAAUGUGCUGGAGAGGUUAAUUUCACUUUAAGAUUCUUCUUGAGUGUUUGUUCUACCUCCUUCCCACCACUUGCACCGUUUUGGGUACCUCUGGGGAUAAAGCACCCGAAGAUUGGCAAUUGGAGGAAAUAGGCACAAAACGUUUAACUUGAGAGGUGCAGCUGCAAUCUCUGGAGGUGUCCCCGGGGCAUGAUAAAAAACUGGAGCCAACCCUAUCUCACUGGCACUCCCUGAGGGUUUCCAAGAUCCCCUAUCGCAGGUAAUACCUUUUCCGGGUGUCUGUUUGGGUGAGUCCCCACUCAGCUCCAGGUUCCCAGAGAGAGGUUCAUUCAGUUAUUGGAAUCACUCCUCAGGCCUCAGUCUCCCACCAGGUGGCCUCUUUGGACAGGGGUUCUUCUCAAAGUGACUCCAUCCGGCUGCCUCCCCGUGUGCCUGGCCACUGGACACCCUGAGUCAUUCUCACCCUGCCACACUGAGAGUGCUGGCCGUUCACGGGCAACUUCCCCUUUUCCUGUGCUGCUGCCAGGCAAGGCAGAGUUGGGACAGUCAGGCAACAAAGUUCAAGCUCUCCAAACGUGGUUUUCUCUAAGCUCUUCUCAUUAGCUUCGAGUUGGAAAUACCCUCUCCACCCACCACCACACCCUGUUCUAAGGAACACGAUACUUUUCAGCAAGAAAAUCCUCCCAGGAGGCUCUCCAACCUCCCAGUGACCCUCACCUUCUCUUUUAUAGUCUGGAGGUGGCAAUGCUGGUUAAACCGUUUCGCAAUGUCUUCACCGGCUGUGUGUGGGCAAUCCAUUACCUUUCUUUGGAACGAGGAGGUACUUGGCACUUCCUGUUUUGUCCUCCACAAUCAGAGCCUCUGCCAGGUUUCAAGGUGAAAAGAAGAGUCCAUUUUAACACACUGCUGCAGUUUACAUUCUCCAUUUUCAGAUGCCAUUGUUAGUAAUUCCGUCUAUGUAGUGAGCGUUUUAAGUGACUGGGGAGAGAAGAGCAGCACUGUGCUCUGAGCGUGACUGACAAGGAGCUGUAUCUCAGAGUCUAAGCGGGAAGAGUCUGUCUUUAAAUACAGAAAACGCAUAUUUCUUACAUCUCUCUACUUUGCCUCCAUUCUCACUGCCCACCUUAGCUUUAGACCCCAUUGUCUCUUGCCUGUGUGGGGGCUGAUCUCUCCAAGCAGUAAUCUGAGCGACAAUGUGUAUUCCUUCCUCUGCUCUCACCAAACUGUUUCUCACAUGUCACUAUAUUUGUGUCCUAGGCCUACAGAAACAAAUGACCACAGAGUUGGUGGCUGUAAACAACAGAACUUCAUUGUCUCACAGUCUUAGAGGCCAGAGGCCGCAAUCAAGAUGUCCUCAGGUUUGGCUCCUUCUCGAGGCUCUGAGGAGAGCACCCCAUGCCUCUCCCCUAGCUGCUAUUGGCUCUGACAAUUUUUGGCCUUCCGUGGCUGGUAGAUGCAUCAUUCCAACCUCUGUUUCCAUCUUCCCAUGGCCUUCUCUGUGUGUCUCUGUCUUAAAUCUCCUUCUUCUUGCUCUUAUAAAGGCACCAGUCGUUGGAUUUGGACCCACUAUCGAAAUCCAAAACUAUCUCAUUCUGAGAUCCUUCCCUUAAUUAUGUCUGCAAAGGCCCUAUUUCCAAAUCAGAUCACAUUCACAGGUACUAGGGUUGGGACUUCAAUGUGUCUUUCGGGCGGGGCCCCACUCAGCCGCCACCAUCACAAAGGGCUUCCCCCACACGGCUUCCUCCUCUUUACUCAGCAUUCACUGUCUGACCUCCAAUGCUUCUGAAAGACUGAGGCACACACUGACCGACUGUUUUUCUUACACAGACUAGAUGAAUGAGAAUGGGGACUGGAGAACGCGGAGUAGAGAAACCUCAACCCUGGAAGGUGGAGCCGGAGACAGGGUGCAGAGGCAGACUCAGCACGAACCAAUGGCCACUGCAGAGUUGCACUACCUCCUUUAAUUUGCUGGCCCCUUCCCAAGAAAAAAGGCUGAUACAAACAAAAGGUUCAGAGUAUAAUUUAUCUCCCAGUAUUUCCUGCUCAACCAGAAAUUCAAGUACCAGAAAUUGCAGUAAUCUCUCUGAUUCUCUAGUUCCUCAGUUGGUAAGUCUAUUUCUUGAUGUGGUUCUGAAGAUUAAAUGAGAUCAUCUGCAGCAGAUUCCUUUACAUUCCUGAAGAUGGUCCGCCCUGAAAUCCGCUGUAUCUUGGAGAGCUACCAAAGGGGCAUGAAGGAAAGUGGUGAAGAAGAAGAAAAAGAAGAAGAGAGAGGAGCAUAAGAAGCAUGCCACAGAAGCAGAACAGCAGAACCUGCAAGAUAUCAAGAGGUGACUCCCGAGUCCUGGUGCAGUGCCGUUUAGAGCACAGCAGAGGUGGCAAGCAGCAGCCAGAAUCUGUGGACAAUGUAAGCAAUCCUCAGUGACUUCCAAAAAUUCCUUUGGGAAGGAAACUCAGGAGGAAAAAAAAAAAAAAGAAUAAAUUAGAAUAUGUCCCAGUGACAAACAAAUCAAAAAUUUCAGUGGCUUAAGACCAUAGAGUAUUUUUACUCACACUACAUUUUUUUUAAGUUUAUUUAUUUAUUUUUCAGAGAGAAAGAGA